AUGCAUGAUGCUCCGUAUGUCCUGGAAAGUUUAAUUAAAAAUUGGGACGAGGAACAUUCUGCCGAGAAAGCAUUAGGAGCUGCACUGGCUGCUGGUCUUGCUGACUUUCACCAGGAUGUUCAUGAUAGAGCCUUGUUUUAUUACAGGCUUCUACAAUGCAACGUAUCAGUGGCAGAGAGUGUGGUGAACCCUCCCAAACAAGUACAAGCGCAACUGGUCAAGCUCCAGCAUCUAUCAUGGCAAUUGAUGAUUUGUUUGGUUUAG